rnacentral:rRNA from 1 species
UACGUAGGGUGCGAGCGUUGUCCGGAAUUAUUGGGCGUAAAGAGCUUGUAGGUGGUUUGUCGCGUCUGCUGUGAAAAUCCGAGGCUCAACCUCGGACUUGCAGUGGGUACGGGCAGACUAGAGUGUGGUAGGGGAGACUGGAAUUCCUGGUGUAGCGGUGGAAUGCGCAGAUAUCAGGAGGAACACCGAUGGCGAAGGCAGGUCUCUGGGCCACUACUGACGCUGAGGAGCGAAAGCGUGGGGAGCGAACAGG